rnacentral:miRNA from 11 species
CCGUCAGAGUCGACUGCGAAAUG